rnacentral:rRNA from 1 species
UGGGGAAUUUUGGACAAUGGGGGAAACCCUGAUCCAGCCAUCCCGCGUGUGCGAUGAAGGCCUUCGGGUUGUAAAGCACUUUUGGCAGGAAAGAAACGUCAUGGGUUAAUACCCCGUGAAACUGAUGGUACCUGCAGAAUAAGCACCGGCUAACUACGUGCCAGCAGCCGCGGUAAUACGUAGGGUGCAAGCGUUAAUCGGAAUUACUUGGCGUAAAGCGUGCGCAGGCGGUUCGGAAAGAAAGAUGUGAAAUCCCAGAGCUCAACUUUAGAACUGCAUUUUUAACUGCCGGGCUAGAGUGUGUCAGAGGGAGGUGGAAUUCCGCGUGUAGCAGAGAAAUGCGUAAAUAUGCGAAGGAACACCGAUGGCGAAGGCAGCCUCAUGAGAUAACACUGACGAUCAUGCACGAAAGCGUGGGGAGCAAACAGG